rnacentral:rRNA from 1 species
UACAUGGGGUGCAAACGUUGCUCGGAAUUAUUGGGCGUAAAGCGCACGUAGGCGGUUUGUUAAGUCGGAUGUGAAAGCCCUCGGCUCAACUGAGGAAGUGCACCCGAAACUGGCGAGCUUGAGUACGAAAGAGGAUCGCGGAAUUCCCGGUGUAGAGGUGAAAUUCGUAGAUAUCGGGAGGAACACCGGUGGCGAAGGCGGCGAUCUGGGUCGAUACUGACGCUGAGGUGCGAAAGCGUGGGGAGCAAACAGG